ACGUAGGGUGCGAGCGUUAUCCGGAAUUACUGGGCGUAAAGGGCUCGUAGGUGGUUUGUCGCGUCGUCUGUGAAAUUCAGGGGCUUAACUCCGGGCGUGCAGGCGAUAAGGGGAUAACUUGAGUACUGUAGGGGUAAGUGGAAUUCCUGGUGUAGCGGUGAAAUGCGUAGAUAUCAGGAGGAACACCGAUGGCGAAGGCAGGUUACUGGGCUGUUACUGACGCUGAGGAGCGAAAGCAUGGGUAGCAAACAG
rnacentral:rRNA from 1 species